ACACAAGAUUUUUCUGCCUCUUAAUUUAUUACCCCUGUGCCAUGCCUUUAUCAAAGGACUUCUCAAACCAGAGGGGCACCGAUGAUUAAUACAUCUCACACAUUCAUUAUUAAGCAUGUGUUUAAGAAUUUUGGUAACAUCAUGCUGCAGCAGCUUCUCGUGCUCUUAUUUUCACGAAAUUGUGUUUGGACUAAGAAAGGCAGAAACAGUCGCUGCCUCCGAUUUUGUAGCCCAUCCACCCGACACUGGAGAUCUCCAGAGAUGUCAUUACCGAAGUGAUGAGACAUCUUAGUUUAAGAGCUCUUGGUCUCUGCAGAGCAAAGGGCUGGGAAUUAACUACGCGUCUUAUGCAUAGCAGUGCAGAACAGCACCAAUAAAUUACUGUUCUCCUUAAUGUCUGCCUUUAGAUUCAUGGGGUCUAGAGGAAUUUGUGCCAGGAUCACCCUUCCGCUGCUUAUACUAGCACAGAUGGCAGGGAUUUCAACCCAGUGUUGGUGUUCCUGGAUAUUUCUCAGAAAGAUGGUUUCUGGAAAGAUCAAGACAUCAAAGUCAUUCAGAGGACAGAAAUGCCCAUGAGUUUCUUCAUAAACCAGCAGAGCAAAGAACAAAAAAAGCAAUGAAGUCCUUAUUCUAAGAAGUUUCAAAUUGCACCAGACCAUCCUAUUCGUGUGCAGGAUAACUAAUCUGCAUAAAAUAAGGUUCAA